GGGACUUUGGCCGAGUGGUCUAAGGCGCUCGAUUCAAGACUGAGUACGGUAACGUUCGGGGGUUCGAAUCCCCCAGGUCCCA
rnacentral:tRNA from 3 species